rnacentral:rRNA from 1 species
CCUACGGGGGGCUGCAGUGGGGAAUUUUCCGCAAUGGGCGCAAGCCUGACGGAGCAAGACCGCGUGUGGGAGGAAGGCUCUUGGGUUGUAAACCACUUUUAUCAGGGAAGAAGAUCUGACGGUACCUGAUGAAUCAGCAUCGGCUAACUCCGUGCCAGCAGCCGCGGUAAUACGGAGGAUGCAAGCGUUAUCCGGAAUUAUUGGGCGUAAAGCGUCCGCAGGUGGUUGUUCAAGUCUGCUGUUAAAGCGUGGAGCUUAACUCCAUAACGGCGGUG